UAGAUAUUAGGACAAUCUGUUUAAUGUAGCUCAUGAUAUUUUACCCUGGUGAAUAUGAUUCAACCAUAUAUGAUUAAAAAUAUAUAUUUCCUGAGCCAACGGCGCGGAGUGCCGUUCCGGGCGUAAGGCCGGGGCGAGGAUACUAAUUCCGUCCGGCUAUUUACACCCGGGGAAAGGAACGCACUUAGUCUAGUGAAAUCUAAAGUUCAUCGAGUGGGGUAAACAAGAUUUCAAUUCUCAAAGGCAUAUAAUUCUUUGGAAAAUCACGUUUCACACAAUGAGCUUUGAAGCAAUUUUUGUUUGAAGAAAUGAGAAGAAUUGAUUUACUAUGGGAAUCGUGAAAUAUAGUGCAAGUUUGCUUUGAAUGUUUAAUGUUUAUGAAUUUUGUUGCUUUUAUAAAUAAUUUCUUGCGUAUUAAAAGUUUUGUCUAUAUCAAAAUUUAGUCUAUAAUGCAAAUGAUCCAUUAACGAUUUAAUCAUAAUUCGAGUUAAGCCCCGACAUUUGGUGGGUGUAAACAAGUGACACAUGUGUACUCGCAAAAAUAUAACAGAUACAAAUAUUUCCACUAUAAUUACCAAUGGCAAAUAAUAACCGAAUCACAACAACGGUAAACGAAACUAAAAUAUCACGAUUAUGUGUACUAUUUGGAUAUUCUCAGAAAUCAGAAUGAUCAAGAAUGAAGUUCUAGCUAGUAAAACCAUUUUCUAACACAAUUCAGUAUGAUGUCACGCUGUAGUAUUCAUGUCCCCUACUUCGGAGAAGAGAUAUAUCUUAGAAGGGACUAGCUAACAAUUAUGGGUCGUGGGUAAAAAGUCAUGGGUAAAAUGUCGUGGUUAAAAAGUUGUGGAUCGUGGGUAAAAAGUUGUGGGUCGUGGUUAAAAAGUUGUGGGUCAUGGGUAAAAAGUUGUGGGUCCCGAAUAAAAAGUCGUGGGUCCCGAGAUAUAUCAAAUAUUUGGACGUUAUAAUCUUAUAGACAGAUAACUAUUGUAAUUCUUCAAUAGGAAAUAGUGCUGCCAUAAAUAGCUAAACUGUGACAUUCAGGGCUUCACUAAUUUGUUGAUCGAUGUUCUUACAGUAAUAAGCGAGAAGUUUUAACUUGGACGUCACAGUGUUAAUUUAAUGCAAUGUCUGUUAAUUUACUGGGGGGAAAAUCGAAAAAUAUAAAAAGCAUUUGAGAGAUUUCACUUAAAUACAUAUUUAGUAUCUACCAAUACAAUACAAUUUUUAUACAAUACAAUUUUAUUCAAUAAAAUAAAAUACAUAAGAUAGAAAUAACAUGACCCGCAAAUAGCAAUAGCUAAUCAGAGGCGGGCAUGAAAUAUAAAUUUAGACAGUUAUAAUUUCAAUUAGUUGCAGACAAUUUUACUGUAUAUAUACGUGCAGAAAAAAUAAAAAAUAAAUUAAACAAAUGUAUCAUUAGCGGU